GUCCAACUGAUGAGUCUCAAAUAGGACGGAACGUGCGUCCCGGAU
rnacentral:hammerhead_ribozyme from 1 species